rnacentral:lncRNA from 7 species
GAUGAGGAAGCAUUACAGCAAGCUGCGCACUGAGCCUGGACCAUGCAGCCUCUCCAGUGUGCUCACCUGCUCCUCCUGCUUGCCCUGCUUGCCUUCUGCUUGCCCUCAGGCUGGGCGGAGGACAACAGCACCAUGACAAAUGGGGCACCAGACCAGAGCCCGCCCUGCGGCAGCCCGGCCCUCCUGUCCCUCGCACUGGGGCUGGCUGCGUUCCUCCUGCGGCUCCUGUCCCCGUGUUCCCGCAGCGCUUCCCUAUGGCCGCAGCCUCCAGGAGGACCAACUCCAAGCACAGCCUCCGCAGUUGUGCUGUGAAGCUCUGAGAAAUAAAGUACGAGGCU